GACGAACGCUGGCGGCGUGCUUAACACAUGCAAGUCGAACGGUGAAGCUCCAGCUUGCUGGAGUGGAUCAGUGGCGAACGGGUGAGUAACACGUGAGCAACCUUCCCCUGACUCUGGAAUAAGCGCUGGAAACGGCGUCUAAUACUGGAUACGAGAAGGGUCUGCAUGGGCACUUUCUGGAAAGUUCUUCGGUUGGGGAUGGGCUCGCGGCCUAUCAGCUUGUUGGUGAGGUAAUGGCUCACCAAGGCGACGACGGGUAGCCGGCCUGAGAGGGCGACCGGCCACACUGGGACUGAGACACGGCCCAGACUCCUACGGGAGGCAGCAGUGGGGAAUAUUGCACAAUGGGCGAAAGCCUGAUGCAGCGACGCCGCGUGAGGGAUGACGGCCUUCGGGUUGUAAACCUCUUUCAGCAGGGAAGAAGCGAAAGUGACGGUACCUGCAGAAGAAGCACCGGCUAACUACGUG
rnacentral:rRNA from 1 species